UACGUAGGGGCGAGCGUUGUCCGGAAUCAUUGGGCGUAAAGCGCGUGUAGGCGGCUCGGUAAGUCUGCUGUGAAAGUCCAGGGCUCAACCCUGGAAUGCCGGUGGAAACUGUCGAGCUUGAGUCCGGAAGAGGCGAGUGGAAUUCCUGGUGUAGCGGUGAAAUGCGCAGAUAUCAGGAGGAACACCAUGGCGAAGGCAGCUCGCUGGGACGGUACUGACGCUGAGACGCGAAGCGUGGGAGCAACAGG
rnacentral:rRNA from 1 species